rnacentral:rRNA from 1 species
AGCGAACGCUGGCGGCAGGCCUAACACAUGCAAGUCGAACGGAUCCUUCGGGAUUAGUGGCGGACGGGUGAGUAACACGUGGGAACGUGCCCUUUGGUUCGGAACAACUCAGGGAAACUUGAGCUAAUACCGGAUGUGCCCUUCGGGGGAAAGAUUUAUCGCCAUUGGAGCGGCCCGCGUCUGAUUAGCUAGUUGGUGGGGUAAAGGCCCACCAAGGCGACGAUCAGUAGCUGGUCUGAGAGGAUGAUCAGCCACAUUGGGACUGAGACACGGCCCAAACUCCUACGGGAGGCAGCAGUGGGGAAUCUUGCGCAAUGGGCGAAAGCCUGACGCAGCCAUGCCGCGUGAAUGAUGAAGGUCUUAGGAUUGUAAAAUACUUUCACCGGGGAAGAUAAUGACGGUACCCGGAGAAGAAGCCCCGGCUAACUUCGUGCCAGCCGCCGCCGUAAUAC